GGGUUUGAUCAUGGCUCAGAUUGAACGCUGGCGGGAUGCUUACACAUGCAAGUCGAACGGCAGCACGGACUUUGGUUCAGUGGUGAGUGGCGAACGGGUGAGUAAUGAACGUGCCUAGUAGCGGGGGAUAACUACGCGAAAGCGUAGCUAAUUACCGUACAUACCCUUCGGGGGAAAGCGGGGACCUUCGGGCUCGCACUAUUAGAGCGGCCGAUAUCGGAUUAGCUAGUUGGUGGGGUAACGGUCAUCAGCGCGAGCGGAUCCGUAGCUGGUUUGAGGACGACCAGCCACACUGGGACUGAGACACGGCCCAGACUCUACGGAGGCAGGGAAUUUUGGACAAUGGGGGGAAACCCCGAUCCAGCCAUCCCGCGUGUGCGAUGAAGGGCCUUCGGGUUGUAAAGCACUUUUGGCAGGAAAAGAAACGACACGGAUAAUACCCGUGCAACUGACGGUACCUGCAGAAUAAGACCCGGCACAAUCACGUGCCAGCAGCCGCGGUAACAGUAGGGUGCAAGCGUUAAUCGGAAUUACUGGGCGUAAGCGUGCGCAGGUGCGGUUCGGAAAGAAAGAUGUGGAACUCAGAGCUUAACUUUGGAACUGCAUUUUUAAUCAUCGAGAUAGAGUGUGUCAGAGGAGGUGAAUUCCGCGUGUAGUGAAUGCGUAGAUAGCGCGGAGGAACACCGAUGGCGAAGGCAGCCCCGGGAUAACACUGACGCUCAUGCACGAGCGGGGAGCAAACAGAUUAGAUACCCUGUGAAUCACGCCCAAACGAUGUCAACUAGCUGUUGGGGCCUUCGGGCCUUGGUAGCGCAGCUAAUGCGUGAAGUUGACCGCCUGGGGAGUACGGUCGCAAGAUUAAAACUCCAAAGGAAUUGACGGGUCCACAAGCGGUGGAUGAUGUGGAUUAAUCUGACGCAACGCGAAAAACCUUACCUACCUGACAUGUCUGGAAUCCCGAAGAGAUUUGGGAGUGCUCGCAAGAGAACCGGAACACAGGUGCUGCAUGGCUGUCGUCAGCUCGUGUCGUGAGAUGCGUUUAAGUCCCGCGAACGAGCGCAACCCUUGUCAUUAGUUGCUGAUGAAAGGGCACUCUUAAUGAGAUCGGCGCAGACAAGCCGGAGGAAGGUGGGGACGACGUUAAGUCCCUGCGGUCUUUAUGGGUAGGGCUUCACACGUCAUACAAUGAGUCAACAGGUGGUCGCCAACCCAAGCAGGGGAGCCAAUCCCA
rnacentral:rRNA from 1 species